UACGGAGGGUGCAAGCGUUAAUCGGAAUUACUGGGCGUAAAGCGCACGUAGGCGGUUUGUUAAGCGAGAUGUGAAAGCCCCGGGCUUAACCUGGGAACUGCAUUUCGAACUGGCAGGCUAGAGUACAGUAGAGGGUGGUGGAAUUUCCAGUGUAGCGGUGAAAUGCGUAGAGAUUGGAAGGAACAUCAGUGGCGAAGGCGGCCACCUGGACUGAUACUGACGCUGAGGUGCGAAAGCGUGGGGAGCAAACAGG
rnacentral:rRNA from 1 species